GGAUUUUUUUCCUCGGGGCCUCCCCCGGGAGGCCGUCCCGGCGUGGGGGAGGGGAGGACGGCGCGGGAGGAAGCGGUUCGGUCGGCUGCAGCGCUACUUUUGGUCCGGGGUCGGCAGGGAGGCCGCGGCUACCGCAUCACAGCUGACGUGAGGACUACGUGGGGCCGCUGCCGGCUCCGGGUUGCUGGGCGGCGGCGCCGCUGCUGAGCGGCGGUCGGGCUCGCCGUCUCCACCUCCUCGCGUCCGUAAUCAGUGACGAGGUCCGCUACGUAAAUCCCUUUGCGGCGGGUAGCAGCAAUUGCAGAGACAGAUGAAUCUGCAGAAUCAGAAGGUGUAAUUGAUUCUCAUAAACGUAGAGAAAUCCUUUCACGAAGACCCUCUUAUAGGAAAAUACUGAAUGAACUGUCCUCUGAUGUGCCUGGUGUUCCCAAGAUUGAAGAAGAGAGAUCAGAGGAAGAAGGAACACCACCUAGUAUUGCUACCAUGGCAGUACCAACUAGCAUAUAUCAGACUAGCACGGGGCAAUACAGUAUGUAUGCUGCAAUUCGAUAUGAUACAGUGCUAGCUUUAAGUCUUCUCUAGUUAUAUUGAAGCAACUCAGGUUUUGGCAUUAAAUUGUUCCAUUUUAAAAUGCAUCAUUAAUACCUAAACUGUAUCAUAGAAUGAAAGUAUAUGUUAAAAAGUGAGAUCUUUGUAUUGACAGCUGUCAUAUAAUUUUGAAAAGUAAAAAUUUUGACUGCCGAAUAUAGAAGAAAAUUUUGGGGUAAAAAGGAGAAUUUUUCCUAUUUACAUGUUUAUAUUAAUCUCUAGUAAAACAUUGUUUUUGUUGUCUUUAUGAUGCAUGCAAACAUAAAUGUCUGUAUUUCAUUCUUGUUGGCUUUUGUUACCCACAAUUACAUACUAUUCUUACUAAUCUGAGAGUUUUCUAAAGUAUGUUUUCAAUGUUUCACUACUCUCUACUCUGUUAAUUUGUGCUACAGUUUUUCCUAAAAGAGAAUGGAAAAAUGAUUUAAUUUUUUAAA
rnacentral:sRNA from 1 species